GCCCGGUUAGCUCAAUCGGUAGAGCGUGAGACUCUUAAUCUCAAGGUUGCGGGUAAGUCCCCACAAUCAGUCAUAGGAGCCCGACUUGUUCAUCGCUAACGUGCGCGCGCGCGCCGCAGGUUCGACCCCCGCAUCGGGCU